rnacentral:rRNA from 1 species
CGGUCUCAGUUCGGAUUGGAGGCUGAAACUCGCCUCCAUGAAGUUGGAUUCGCUAGUAAUCGCGCAUCAGCCAUGGCGCGGUGAAUACGUUCCCGGGCCUUGUACACACCGCCCGUCAAGCCAUGGGAGUUGGGGGUGCCUGAAGUACGUGACCGCAAGGAGCGUCCUAGGGCAAAACCGAUGACUGGGGCUAAGUCGUAACAAGGUACC